rnacentral:rRNA from 1 species
CCUACGGGAGGCAGCAGUGAGGAAUAUUGGUCAAUGGGCGCGAGCCUGAACCAGCCAAGUAGCGUGAAGGAUGACUGCCCUACUGGUUGUCAACUUCUUUUAUAAAGGAAUAAAGUGAGGCACGUGUGCCUUUUUGUAUGUACUUUAUGAAUAAGGAUCGGCUAAAUCCGUGCCAGCAGCCGCGGUAAUACGGAGGAUCCGAGCGUUAUCCGUAUUUAUUGGGUUUAAAGGGAGCGUAGAUGGGUUGGUAAGUCAGUUGUGAAAGUUUGCGGCUCAACCGUAAAAUUGCAAUUGAUACUGGCAGUCUUGAGUACAGUUGAGGUAGGCGGAAUUCGUGGUGUAGCGGUGAAAUGCAGAGAUAUCACGCAGAACUCCGAUCGCGAAGGCAGCCUACCGGCGCGCAACUGACGCGCAUGCACGAAAGCGUGGGUAUCGAACAGGAUUAGAUACCCCAGUAGUC